UCCUAUAUGGAUUACCGUGGAAUCGAACCCCUACAACAUCCUUAAGAGGUCUGCCCAACGUGUGCUGAUAGUAGCCUGUUUCCCUAUGAAAUUCUUCCCAGUCUUAGGACUGGUCAGAAGAAAGGAAAGAAGAGGAUCAAAACUCACAUCUGAAGGAGCAACCUAAGUGACUGAAAGUUUGCUUAGCUCGAAUGUUUGUUUAUAUAUUUUCAUAUAAUUAUCUUCUGCUUUCAACCACCGUGGCCACCUCAGACCCUCUGUAGCAAGACAGUGAGACACAGAUUAGCUGACCACAGACUAUUAAAGCCAGGGAAUCAAGUGGAAGUCCAGAAAUGUCUCUGAAAGCAGCGACACUGCCAUCUCUAGUUCUACACCGCAGGGCUUAAUUCGGGUUCCUGAAAAAUAUUGUAAGUUCCUGUUGAAACCAACAGAUUCUUCAAAUAAGAGAGAAAAGUAAUAGCUAAGGAAAGACUGGAUAGCACACUGAUCUCCUAUUCCACUCAGCCAAGAAACCAAAUCUACCAAGGCAUGGGCCGCUCCAAUCAUUUGCUUUAAGUGUGCGCCACAGUAACAACGCUCAGGAGGAUGCCUCCUUCCCUUUCCAGGGAGUUAGCACAGAAAAUGUGAACAGAGAAACGAGUAAUUCCAAAGGCAAGAAAAACAUUUUUAAAAAACUCUAACCAGCAUCAAAAUUUUUCUACAGCAACAAUAUUCAUGUAGGAUUGUGUGGUCCAAGGAAAGACAUCAACUUGGAUACUUUUUCCAGAAAGCUUAUGUGACCAGCACAUGAAUACAUACAUUACACAAGAACAGGGCGUCUGGACGGAGUGGGAAAACUAGGUCACCCUAGAAGGAAACCCCAGAGCAAGAAAAGCAUAUGACCACAUCCUAGGAGAGUUCUGCAUCUACUUUUCUCCUAGACAAGGCUGCAUCAUAACACAAGAACCUCCCUUUCCAGCCCCGCCUCAAAAUUACAAACAUCCUGAUGUAGUGUUCGUCAGCUCUGAAAUAAGUCUUCUAAAAAGUAAAAUAUAUUUUUAGCACAACAGUAUAAGCCAAAUAUAACAUGAGUGAGCUCUCUCCCCUAUUCAGCACAGCGCAAAGGUUUCCUUUACAGGAUUUACAGCAAGCACAUGGUGAGCUACUUUGAAAGCACAGAGGUAAAGUGAAGCAUAUCCGUCACAACAAAUCUUCAGUUCCUCUAGUGCCGUUUCUAAAGCAGCCAAUAAAUAACAUCAGCAAAGGUUCACAUUCCGAAGAGCAUGAGGAAGCAAGCAAGGUUGGUCUCCACUGUUCAGUCUAGAGGCCCAGGCCAGGCUGCCCCUUACCAGCCACGCAACACCUUUGGUGGCUUGUAAUUUAACACAUCAGGCUCGCCAGUCAGGAAGACUGCUGACACCCUCCUUUCAAACCUCCUGCUGGGAGCCAUGCAAAUGGACAGACCUACCUGGUAACUGCUUGCAAUCCUGGAGAGCUACCUGCUCUCGCAAAUCAAAUCCGCACUUCUUCCAGCAAAACGUGGUGGCCGCCCGGAUACUCAUCUCCUACAUUGGCUUAAAUGCCCGGGGAAGAUGCAGAGGAAGCGGACAACAAAAGCAGCCUGCGAAGUGCACACUGGGAUGUCCUGUUUGGGGUGGCUUUUAUUUUUCCCAUGAGAGGAUCUGACUAAACCCAAUCUCCUCUGAGCACCAGACAGGAAGUUACACUGAGCAGCUAGUGAAAACUACUUUGGUUGUUUUUUUUUUUUUCUGUUUUUGUUUUUGUUUUAAAUUGUCACAACUAAGGGC